GAUGGGAGCUUGCUCCCUGAUGUUAGCGGCGGACGGGUGAGUAACACGUGGGUAACCUGCCUGUAAGACUGGGAUAACUCCGGGAAACCGGGGCUAAUACCGGAUGGUUGUUUGAACCGCAUGGUUCAGACAUAAAAGGUGGCUUCGGCUACCACUUACAGAUGGACCCGCGGCGCAUUAGCUAGUUGGUGGGGUAACGGCUCACCAAGGCGACGAUGCGUAGCCGACCUGAGAGGGUGAUCGGCCACACUGGGACUGAGACACGGCCCAGACUCCUACGGGAGGCAGCAGUAGGGAAUCUUCCGCAAUGGACGAAAGUCUGACGGAGCAACGCCGCGUGAGUGAUGAAGGUUUUCGGAUCGUAAAGCUCUGUUGUUAGGGAAGAACAAGUGCCGUUCAAAUAGGGCGGCACCUUGACGGUACCUAACCAGAAAGCCACGGCUAACUACGUGCCAGCAGCCGCGGUAAUACGUAGGUGGCAAGCGUUGUCCGGAAUUAUUGGGCGUAAAGGGCUCGCAGGCGGUUUCUUAAGUCUGAUGUGAAAGCCCCCGGCUCAACCGGGGAGGGUCAUUGGAAACUGGGGAACUUGAGUGCAGAAGAGGAGAGUGGAAUUCCACGUGUAGCGGUGAAAUGCGUAGAGAUGUGGAGGAACACCAGUGGCGAAGGCGACUCUCUGGUCUGUAACUGACGCUGAGGAGCGAAAGCGUGGGGAGCGAACAGGAUUAGAUACCCUGGUAGUCCACGCCGUAAACGAUGAGUGCUAAGUGUUAGGGGGUUUCCGCCCCUUAGUGCUGCAGCUAACGCAUUAAGCACUCCGCCUGGGGAGUACGGUCGCAAGACUGAAACUCAAAGGAAUUGACGGGGGCCCGCACAAGCGGUGGAGCAUGUGGUUUAAUUCGAAGCAACGCGAAGAACCUUACCAGGUCUUGACAUCCUCUGACAAUCCUAGAGAUAGGACGUCCCCUUCGGGGGCAGAGUGACAGGUGGUGCAUGGUUGUCGUCAGCUCGUGUCGUGAGAUGUUGGGUUAAGUCCCGCAACGAGCGCAACCCUUGAUCUUAGUUGCCAGCAUUCAGUUGGGCACUCUAAGGUGACUGCCGGUGACAAACCGGAGGAAGGUGGGGAUGACGUCAAAUCAUCAUGCCCCUUAUGACCUGGGCUACACACGUGCUACAAUGGACAGAACAAAGGGCAGCGAAACCGCGAGGUUAAGCCAAUCCCACAAAUCUGUUCUCAGUUCGGAUCGCAGUCUGCAACUCGACUG
rnacentral:rRNA from 1 species